rnacentral:rRNA from 1 species
GACGAACCGUCCAAACGUUAUUCGGAAUCACUGGGCUUACAGAGUUCGUAGGCGGUCUGGAAAGUUGGGUGUGAAAUCCCUCGGCUCAACCGAGGAACUGCGCUUGAAACUACCAGACUCGAGGGAGAUAGAGGAAAGCGGAACUGAUGGUGGAGCGGUGAAAUGCGUUGAUAUCAUCAGGAACACCCGUGGCUAAGGCGGCUCUCUAGUACGGUACUGACGCUGAGACGCGAAAGCGUGGGGAGCGAACAGG